rnacentral:rRNA from 1 species
UGGGAAACCGGGGCUAAUACCGGAUACGUCCUACGGGAGAAAGUGGGGGAUCUUCGGACCUCACGCUAUCAGAUGAGCCUAGGUCGGAUUAGCUAGUUGGUGAGGUAAAGGCUCACCAAGGCGACGAUCCGUAACUGGUCUGAGAGGAUGAUCAGUCACACUGGAACUGAGACACGGUCCAGACUCCUACGGGAGGCAGCAGUGGGGAAUAUUGGACAAUGGGCGAAAGCCUGAUCCAGCCAUGCCGCGUGUGUGAAGAAGGUCUUCGGAUUGUAAAGCACUUUAAGUUGGGAGGAAGGGCAGUAAGUUAAUACCUUGCUGUUUUGACGUUACCAACAGAAUAAGCACCGGCUAACUUCGUGCCAGCAGCCGCGGUAAU